AACGUACGCUGGCGGCACGCCUAACACAUGCAAGUCGAACGAAGUAGCAAUACUUAGUGGCAGACGGGUGAGUAACAUGUAGGUAUCUGCCCUUUGGCCUGGAAUAACACGAGGAAACUUGUGCUAAUACCGGAUAAGUCUUUACGGAGAAAGCUUUAUGCACCAUUGGAUGAGCCUGCACUUGAUUAGUUUGUUGGUGGGGUAAUGGCCUACCAAGACUGUGAUCAAUAGCUGAUUUGAGAGGAUGAUCAGCCACAUUGGGACUGAGACACGGCCCAAACUCCUACGGGAGGCAGCAGUGGGGAAUCUUGCACAAUGGAGGAAACUCUGAUGCAGCGAUGCCGCGUGAGUGAAGAAGGCCCUUGGGUUGUAAAGCUCUUUCGUCGGGGAAGAAAAUGACUGUACCCGAAUAAGAAGGUCCGGCUAACUUCGUGCCAGCAGCCGCGGUAAUACGAAGGGACCUAGCGUAGUUCGGAAUUACUGGGCUUAAAGAGUUCGUAGGUGGUUGAAAAAGUUAGUGGUGAAAUCCCAGAGCUUAACUCUGGAACUGCCAUUAAAACUUUUCAGCUAGAGUAUGAUAGAGGAAAGCAGAAUUUCUAGUGUAGAGGUGAAAUUCGUAGAUAUUAGAAAGAAUACCAAUUGCGAAGGCAGCUUUCUGGAUCAUUACUGACACUGAGGAACGAAAGCAUGGGUAGCGAAGAGGAUUAGAUACCCUCGUAGUCCAUGCCGUAAACGAUGUGUGUUAGACGUUGGAAAUUUAUUUUCAGUGUCGCAGCGAAAGCGAUAAACACACCGCCUGGGGAGUACGACCGCAAGGUUAAAACUCAAAUGAAUUGACGGGGACCCGCACAAGUAGUGGAGCAUGUGGUUUAAUUCGAAGAUACGCGCAGAACCUUACCAACACUUGACAUGUUCGUCGCGACUCUAAGAGAUUAGAGUUUUCGGUUCGGCCGGACGAAACACAGGUGCUGCAUGGCUGUCGUCAGCUCGUGUCGUGAGAUGUUGGGUUAAGUCCCGCAACGAGCGCAACCCUCACUUUUAGUUGCCAUCAUUAAGUUGGGCACUCUGAAAGAACUGCCAGUGAUAAGCUGGAGGAAGGUGGGGAUGACGUCAAGUCCUCAUGGCCCUUACGUGUUGGGCUACACACGUGCUACAAUGGUAUCUACAACAGGAAGCAAGACUGCGAAGUUAAGCAAAUCCCUAAAAGAUACCUCAGUUCGGAUUGCACUCUGCAACUCGAGUGCAUGAAGCUGGAAUUACUAGUAAUCGUGGAUCAGCGUGCCACGGUGAAUGCGUUCCCGGGUCU
rnacentral:rRNA from 1 species